GCCAGUGUGGCUCAAUGGUUGAGCAUCAAUCUAUGAAGUAGGAGGCCUUGGUUAGAUUCCCAGUCAGGGCA
rnacentral:tRNA from 1 species